UAAUAAUGGUAUCUUCAAAUAUGGUCUUAAAAUCCAACGAUUGAUCAAGAUCACCUUUAAAAGAGGGUAGAGAAAACUUUGGGGGAUUAAUUUUAGUUUCUUCUAUCUUAGUAUUUAUAUUUUCUUUUAAUUCUAAAUAAUUUAAUAAAGUAGAUUGUAUUUCAGUUAUAUCUUUAUUAGCUUCUUUAUAAAUAGAUAUAUGUGAUUCAUGUUCAUCAGAUUCAACUAAUUCAAUCAUAUAAUGUUCAAUAUUUUCUUUAAUUUUGUUUAUAUUAUCCGGUUGUACCUUUAAAUAACCUUUACUUUGAGUUUCUACAUUUUCUAAUUCGAUCUUUAGGUCAUCAAACUUCGAUAUUUUGGUGAGAGGAGGUGGUUCUAUGUUACCUUAAUUUAGGAGAUUAGGGUGUUAGCUUUGACAGUGUUGGUGAGAGGAGAUGGUUCUAUGUUACCUUAAUUUAGGAGAUUAGGGUGUCAGCUUUGACAGUGUUGGUGAGAGGAGGUGGUUCUAUGUUACCUUAAUUUAGGAGAUUAGGGUGUCAGCUUUGACAGUGUUGGUGAGAGGAGGUGGUUUUAUGUUACCUUAAUUUAGGAGAUUAGGGUGUAAGCUUUGACAGUGUUGGUGAGAGGAGGUGGUUCUAUGUUACCUUAAUUUAGGAGAUUAGGGUGUUAGCUUUGACAGUGUUGGUGAGAGGAGGUGGUUCUAUGUUACCUUAAUUUAGGACAUUAGGGUGUCAGCUUUGACAGUGUUGGUGAGAGGAGGUGGUUCUAUGUUACCUUAAUUUAGGAGAUUAGGGUGUUAGCUUUGACAGUGUUGGUGAGAGGAGGUGGUUCUAUGUUACCUUAAUUUAGGAGAUUAGGGUGUCAGCUUUGACAGUGUUGGUGAGAGGAGGUAGUUCUAUGUUACCUUAAUUUAGGACAUUAGGGUGUCAGCUUUGACAGUGUUGGUGAGAGGAGGUGGUUCUAUGUUACCUUAAUUUAGGAGAUUAGGGUGUCAGCUUUGACAGUGUUGGUGAAAGGAGGUGGUUCUAUGUUACCUUAAUUUAUGAGAUUAGGGUGUCAGCUUUGACAGUGUUGGUGAGAGAAGGUGGUUCUAUGUUACCUUAAUUUAGGAGAUUAGGGUGUCAGCUUUGACAGUGUUGGUGAGAGGAGAGGUGGUUCUAUGUUACACAUUCUCUCUGAAUUUUCUCAUUGUUGGUGGAAGAACAGCACCAGUGAUUAUUUUGGCCGCUUUUACUUGAACACUGUCUUGUCUUCCUUUUAGUGAUGAGCUUGAGGGAGCCCAGACAGGUGUUGCAUAUUCCAUUAUUGGCCUUAUUAAGGUGGUUUAUGUUGUUCUGAGGGUUUUGGGUUUUGCUCCCCAAUUUGUUCCACAUAACCUUCUCAGAAUAUUUAGUUUUCUGGUAGCUCUAUUUGAGGUGCUAAUUAUGUGUUCUGUAAAUCGCAAUUCCUCUUCAAGUAUCACACCUAGGUAUUUUGGAUUUCUAAUUUUAUCAAUUAUUUGGUUAUUUAUGCAUAUUUUGGGAUUAAAUUUAUGCCUGUGUUUCCUGUCAGUGGAGAAGACGCAUAGGUUUGUUUUUAUUGGGUUUAUGGUCAUUUUGAGUUCCAUUGCCCACUUCUCCAGUCCUCUCAUUGAGGUGUUCAGUAUUUUUUCUGAUUUUUCUAUACUGCUACUUGUGUGCCAUAUGGCUAUAUCAUCUGCAUAACAGGCAACCUUUGUGUCUUCAGUGAGGUAAGGAUGGAUGUCGUUAAUAUAUAGCAGGAAGAGUAGGGGACUGAGCACAGAUCCCUGAGGUACACCAGCCCAUGUUAUUCUGUUCUUGGAAAAUGCUCCAUUAACCCGAACCUUUAUCCUUCUUCCCCUUAAGAAGUCUGCAAUCCAGAUUAAGGUUUUUCCUCUUACUUCAAUGUUGGGCAGCCUUUAAAGUAAUUUCUCCCUCCAUACUCGAUCAAAAGCUGAGGUCAUAUCCAGGAAUACGGCCGUUGUCUUCUUUGUUUGUUUUUCCUGGAAAGAAUCUAUUAUUGAUUGGCAGAAGUAGAACAGUUGAUCAGUUGUACAGUGUCUGGAUCCAUAGGCAGUUUGGUAGAAGUUUAUUUUAUUAUUGUUGGUGAGCCAGACUAUGAGCCUAGAGUGGAUAAUUCGUUCUGUUAUUUUACGUAGUAUGCUGGUGAGAGCAAUUGGCCGAUAGUUCUUGCAAAGUUAGAUGUAUAUUACAUAUUUAUAAAAACAACAAUGUUGGUCAAUGGUCAAAUAUAUUUAAACAUAUUAUAUUACACUAUGUUACCUUAAUUUAGGAGAUUAGGGUUGUUACGACUACUAGAGUAGUCAACAUUAUUUUAUGCAAAUAUAGUUGUAAUUUAAAAGCUGAGAAAAAAGUAUGUAAAUUUCUUUGUUGUAUAAAUUAUUAUGUAAAUUUUCUUAAUGUAUAAAUUGACCGUGCUUUUUAAUAAAAAUGGGUUCUGGAUAAGAUUUUGAACGUUUGGUAGUCGUUCUUAAAGCCUCUUCCUUUGGUGUUGCGGAGCUGGUCGGGUAGCUGGACUAAAACACUAGGUCGUCUCUCGGGGUAAAGAGAGACACCAAUCUAUAUUGAGAAGAAGACCUCAAUAAGGGUGUCAGCUUUGACAGUGUUAGUGAGAGGAGGUGGUUCUAUGUUACCUUAAUUUAGGAGAUUAGGGUGUCAGCUUUGACAGUGUUGGUGAGAGAAGGUGGUUCUAUGUUACCUUAAUUUAGGAGAUUAGGGUGUCAGCUUUGACAGUGUUGGUGAGAGGAGUUGGUUCUAUGUUACCUUAAUUUAGGAGAUUAGGGUGUCAGCUUUGACAGUGUUAAAGGUAGAAUAUAGGCCGACAGAGCGAGGGGAAACUUGCUUUGGGCCUUUCUACCUUAAUUAUUUAGAUACUACUGGGUUCGUAAAGUCUCGUUGUCAGGUUAGUAAUUGGUAAAGAUUUCAGGGGAUAAGCGGUUCAAAUAUCUUUGAUCAUCUUGAUUGGUCUUGAUCAUUUACGGGCGGUGAGAUAAAUUGUUCGUUUUCCGUAGUGUUUUAAUUUGUUGACAUGAAUUGUAUCUGUCUCACGACUUAGAGGUCGGUUGGAGCGGUUGAUCCGUACAAUUUACAGCAGCAUCGAAGUCUUCCCAAAUUGAUGAAGCUGAUACUGGUCGAACUUCAGGUGCCACAGGGCCGACUGUGGUUGCGGGAAUAGAGGACUGUAUCUUUUCUAUAAUUUUAUUUUUUACUUCAAAGAAACGACUGGUGUUCUCUCCAAAGCCGUGCUUUUUGAAGCGUGGAUCCAAGAAGAUAGCCUGAUUGAUUAACUCAACAUUUAACCUAUCCCCAAAUCUAUUCGAUAAGGCUUCUAAUAGAUUUUUUCCUAAUCGUAGGACUUCUUCGGAGAGGUUGUUUCCUCGGGUAGGUACAUUUUCAAUAGUCCGCCUCACAGACCUUGCCAGUCCCUGGGCCAGAAUACAUGUUUUUGACAAGGAAAUUUUCUGUUCUGAGGAAACUUCCUCAGUGACUUCAAAAAAAAAUUUUAAUAUGGAAAUAGAUUCCUCUAUCACUUUCCAGUCACUAUCCCCCAGCAAAAUUUUAGGAUUGAGCAAAGCCAAGACGGAUAUCACUGGCUCUCGAUUUUUCAUGAUGCGGUCUAACAUCUCAUACGUUGAAUUCCAACGUGUUGGAACGUCUUGUUUUAACUUCAAUGGUUUUGUGGAGAGAUUAGCUUGCAUUUCUCUUAAUUUGGCCAUUGCGUGGGAACUCUGUUUAAAAAAUUGGACGAUAUAUUUUACCUUAUCUACCGCGGAUUUUAUACUCUCAUUAAUGGACCUCUGAACCACCAAGUUAAGACUGUGGGCAAAACAAGAUAGGUGAGGUAGCCCCAAGGUUUUUAUUGCAGCUUUGUCAGUCACCACAGCGACCGUUUUAAAAUCAAGUUUGAAUUUUUUGGUUACACCAAGAAUCCACGAUGAUAUAUUUUCUGCAGUAUGUUUUUGAGGAAACUCUGAACAUUCGAGAAGAAUGGAAUUUAAUUUUGUUGUGUAGUCUAUGAAGUGUGCAGUAAUGGCAUAAAAACUGGUGGUAUUUAUGUUAGUCCAGCCAUCACAUGUCAGGCAUACAGCAUAUGCUUCUUCUAACAUUCCUGUUUUUAUUUAUUUAUGCUUAUGAGGUGAUACAGCAGCGUAUUUACAAUUAGAGAGGAGACAAAAUGAAUUAAAUCUAGAAAAAAGAAGUGAGGACAUAUCGGUCAUUAAAGUCUGAGAGGCAAGUCCUUCAGCCAGUUCAGGGCUUCCGGGGUGACAGAAUGGAGAUUGGAGAUUCCUCCAUUGAAUUUGUACAGCGGGCAGUCAUCUAGUAUAUGGGACAUUGAUUGUGGGACGUUGCAGGCACAAUUUGGAUCUUUGGUGUAGCCCCAUAACUUCAUCAGCUCUGCACACCUUCCCUGACCUGUCCUAAAGCGGUUUAGAAGCACCCAUUCUCGUCGAGGGAGGGAAAACCUGGGAUCUUGACAUUUGGGCUUGUGAUGAGGUUCUUGUUUGGGAUAUCGGUGCUGAUCCAGGAAUUUGUCCAUGCUUCUGAGAUAUUAAAAUUUUGGGAGAGAAGUUGGUUUACUCUGGACCAUAACGGCUUCCUAGAUUUUAGUCUAUGAUUUGGGGGAGACUGUAGGAUAGGGUUAAUUUCGAGGUCGGGUGAAUCAAGAGUUUUUGGUACAUUUUCUUGGUGGCUUCCUUUCUGCGUAGCUCAGGUGGAGAGAUGUGAGCAAGAACUGGAAGCCAGUCAAUUCUUGUAGGUUGGCAAACCCCUGUUAUAAUUCUCUCGUAAGGUAGAAUUUAGUUGUGUGUCUAUUAGCUUCGUGUGGCAGCUCCCCUCCCAGACUGGAGCACAAUAUUAUUGGGCCAAGAUGAUGCAGUGUUGACACUCUGACCUCGCAAGAUUUGAAGUGUAGCUGGAGGUAUGUUAAACAAGAGGCUGCAUUUUCAGGGUUGUUGACCUCUAAGAUGUAAGUAACAGAUAGAGGAGAGGUUCUUUUGAGCCAUAUUGUUCGGAGAGAGCAGUCAAUUAUAGCGAGCGCACCUUCUUCCUGCCCCUCCCACCCUUGCGUUAUCGUGUUGAUAAUCCACCAUGAAACUGGGGGUGCUACACUUGUUUGGACUCCCAUCCAGAAUACUUCAUCGUAGAUACUGCCAGUGCAGGACUUGCUUAUCUUAGAGUCAAUUAUAAUGUCCUCAGAAUUAACCUGAGCCGCUAGGAACCCGUGAUGCUCAGACUCGGAAGCAUGCCAUAUUGUCCCUAACUUCGGCAUCAUCUUCCUGAGCUUCCAUAUGGCAUUAGUGUCCUGCCCGGCAAUAAAAAGAGUCUUGACCUUCUUCAGAUUAAUGUUUGACCGAAGAAUGUCUAUCAGUAAGAAUAGGAGAGGACUUGAUUUCGGGAGUAGAGCUAUAAGGUCCUUACAGACCCCUCUUGAGCCGGCAUCUAUAGGUUCUCUAACCCCCUCACAUAUGACUCUGGACUCCAGAUUAUGGAGCUUAAGCCUCUUGUUUGACUGUCCACUUUCCCUGAAUAUAGAUGAGGUUGUUAGGUAGCGCUUCCCGGGUGUUCGGGUCUCCAGUCCAGGUCUUCUGUGUGCCCUUACCAUGUCAAUUAUUGUUGAUAGGCUACUCAGUCUGAUCUUGAUCAUGCUGUUAAUCUUUGAGACUAUGCUAUUCAAAAUUGUGUCAGCCUGUGCUUCAUUCAUAUCGUUCAAUUCCCUCUGCACUUCUUCCUCCUCAUGAUACGACGAUAUAUUUUGGAUUCUGUCCGACAUUUCCUUAAAGCUCUCAUGUGAUGACUCAGGUAUCUUCAAUGUGUUGCAUGUCUUCAUAGCCAGCUUGAUUGGUUCAUCAUUCUUAAAAUCAUCCUUGGUGUAAACAGCAACAGAUCUAACUAAGCUGUGAAAGACAUGGAGGCAGGAUAGCUCAAGACUUAGAGGUAUGUCCUUGUUCCUAACCUGUGUUCCUGCCCAAAACUUGAUAGCCCUGACAAGGUACCUUGCGAUG
rnacentral:piRNA from 1 species